rnacentral:rRNA from 1 species
AACGAACGCUGGCGGCAGGCUUAACACAUGCAAGUCGAACGCAUCGCAAGAUGAGUGGCAGACGGGUGAGUAACGCGUGGGAACAUACCCUUUUCUACGGAAUAGCUCUGGGAAACUGGAAUUAAUACCGUAUACGCCCUACGGGGGAAAGAUUUAUCGGGGAAGGAUUGGCCCGCGUUGGAUUAGCUAGUUGGUGGGGUAAAGGCCUACCAAGGCGACGAUCCAUAGCUGGUCUGAGAGGAUGAUCAGCCACAUUGGGACUGAGACACGGCCCAAACUCCUACGGGAGGCAGCAGUGGGGAAUAUUGGACAAUGGGCGCAAGCCUGAUCCAGCCAUGCCGCGUGAGUGAUGAAGGCCUUAGGGUUGUAAAGCUCUUUCACCGAUGAAGAUAAUGACGGUAGUCGGAGAAGAAGCCCCGGCUAACUACGUGCCAGCAGCCGCCGUAA